CGGCGUCCCAGAACGUCAACAACCAACACACCCAGGGUACCUUAGACGUCAUAUGUGGACGUGGAAAGUCAACGACCAAACUUCGAUAUGUGACUAAGUUAGAGUGGAAACGUGUUGCCACGAGCCGGAGCUGAAGUCAGAACUUAAUGGCUGCUUCCAUUAUAAUACAGCUGAAGAUGAAAGAGAUGGAGAGACAGAGAGACCGAGGGAGAGGAGGAUGAGUUGUCUUCUCAUGAUGGUGACGGGGACCUGGAUCAUGUGAUUGAUUUCCAGUAUCAGUGAAGUGGUUGAAGUGAUCGGAGGUCGGGUGUCGAGGGCGUCUGACAUGUCUGCAGAGCGGAGCUGCAGAGCCACUCGUGUUUAUAGGACCAGACUGCUCUUUGUUUUUUGUUUUCUUUUACAUGUUUUAGCCUCUUAAAUACAAAUCCUGUGUUCUGUUUGUCACAGAUGACGCCUGACUCUAGAACAUGUCGUCAGUACGAGUGCACAGUGUGAGGAAAAUACGUGAUGCGCAUAAUUGUUAAACAUGAUGUUAACAAUAGGCCGAUUUGGAGUGGACGUCACAGUUAUGUCACAGCAGUUGUGUGAGCAUCUUAGUGGCAGAAAAACAGCGGAAACUGGAGAGCAACGGCCAAGAUACCCGAGAUAAAAAUGUCUUGUUGGACGUCAGAACAGGAAUACAGAAAAAGACAACUUUCAUCCAUUCAUCCCUUCAUCCAUUUUCAUCCGCUUAUCCAGGGUCAGGUUGUGGGGGCAGCAGGCCAAGCAAACCCUCUCCCCAACAACACCUUCCAGCUCCUCCUGGAAGA